rnacentral:rRNA from 1 species
UACGGAGGAUGCAAGCGUUAUCCGGAUUUAUUGGGUUUAAAGGGUGCGUAGGCGGAUUGAUAAGUCAGCGGUGAAAUUUUACGGCUUAACUGUAAACGUGCCGUUGAUACUGUUAGUCUGGAGUGUGGUUAAGGUAGGCGGAAUGUGUAAUGUAGCGGUGAAAUGCUUAGAUAUUACACAGAACACCGAUUGCGAAGGCAGCUUACUGGGCCAUUACUGACGCUGAUGCACGAAAGCGUGGGGAGCAAACAGG